UACGGGGGGAGCAAGCGUUGUUCGGAUUUACUGGGCGCAAAGGGCGCGUAGGCGGCCAGCGCAAGUCAGUUGUGAAAUCUCCGGGCUUAACUCGGAACGGUCAACUGAUACUGCGCGGCUAGAGUGCAGAAGGGGCAACUGGAAUUCUCGGUGUAGCGGUGAAAUGCGUAGAUAUCGAGAGGAACACCUGCGGCGAAGGCGGGUUGCUGGGCUGACACUGACGCUGAUGCGCGAAAGCCAGGGGAGCGAACGGG
rnacentral:rRNA from 1 species